UGUAUUGACACUGUAACAACCGGUAUCAGAGUCGUUACUCAUGUAAAUGGUUUGCAUUCAGGAAGAUGUAGGUUGUAGGAUGUAGGGACUCCAAAUAUACGCGAGACCCAACUUCGACAAGACAUGCCUAGAAACUUGCUGCAGCUUCUGUAAUACUGGACUCAUGUCUUGCAUCUCGGCAACAGAUUUCAAAAAUUUAACCUCAAAAGAUGAAUUUAAGAAUGUGCCACACACUAUGCAAAAGAAGAUUGUUUUUGAGGACUUGGAUAUAUACUUGGAAUAUACAGAGAAAAUAGACCCAUUAAUCUAUAUUCUCAGUCGAUCCAUCAUUGCCGUCUUCAAUUCGUGCCCUUCGAGACCAGUGUCUGUUUCCAGCACGUUCUUUAAUGUUGUUGUGGCCAUCUGGCUUCCAAAGUAAAACCCUACCGGCUGCCUCAUCGUUUCUUAUCAUGUGACUAGCAAGAGCAAGUCUACGUCGAAUGAUGGAGGAUAGACGUGGAUGUUUACCGUACAGAGACUUGUUGGAGGUGUGCGACUGCCAGGAAACGUUUUGAACAAUCCUUAACAUUCGGGUGUAUGUUCCAUCAAUUUUUUUAGUAAGAGCUUUCGUUAAGGUCCAUGAGUCAGCUCCAUACAGCAGUAUGGACUCCACACAGUUGAUUUGAAGAGUCUCAUUUUUGUUGUUUUUCUGAUUGGUGCCGACCACACUUUUGACAAUGAGUGUAAUGCACCCCACGCUUUACCAAUUCUUGUGUCAAUGUCAUAGGAUGUAAAUGUGUACCCAAGAGCUUAUUAUUCAAUCGCUUAAUUGAUCUUAAAAACCAAGUUGAUAACUUUAAAAACAUUUCACAUAAUAUCAUUUUAUAUUUAAUUUUACUUCUUCAAUAUUUUGAGCAUUGUAAUUUUAAGUAGUUUUUUACACAAUGUUUUAGUAUUUUAUAAAUACUUUUGUAUUAGGUUAUGUCAGUCAUGUCAGUCAUUUUUCUUUUUUGUUUCAUACUGUACAUAUAUAGGUAAAUUUCAAUAUUUGAAUAAUAAAAAUGUAAUUUAAAAGUGUAGAUUCAAGUAAGUUUUAUUUGCAUGAGAUAAGACGAAACAUGAUUUGAAAAAGCCAUUUUUUUCACAAUUUUGAAUAUCAAAAUGUGUAUGUAUUACACGCAAGCCGACACCCUGUUUUUUUAACCAUAAUUUACGGUGCGUAUUGGGGUGUCUGUUAGGUUGUGUAUCAAGGUAUCUGUCAAAUUACACCUGUCUAUUAAGAUGUUUAUCAUAAUGUCUUUCAGGUAUGUUAGAACAUGUAUUAGGAUUUCUGUCAGGGAAUAUUGUAGAGAGUGUCACUGUCUUUUUCAGAAUACAUGAGAUUUUCAGGAUAAGUAUCAGGGUGUUUGACUCUUUCAUUCUACAUAAAUAUGAAUAAUAAAUAUAAUUGAAUUAAUGUUCAAUAAAUUAGAUUUGGUGCUUGUGCCAAGCUGUGUAUGAAACUACAGUA